UGCACAUGUGUAUGAUGUGUAUUGAGGAAGUUAGCAGAGCACCUCAGCUGAAACAAAGUAAACCAACCUUGGAGAUAAUAACAGACAACAGCAGCGUCCAAACAUGCAACCACCACCCAGAAAGGUGAAGGAGAGUCAGCAGGUGAAGCUGGUGUUCUCAGAGCAGCUCAGUAAACUGCAGAGCAAACAGCAUCAGGACACCGAGCUGCUGGAGGAGAUCAGGACCUUCAGUAAGCACCGCGCGGCGAUAGAGAAGGAGUACGGUCAGGCUCUUCAGAGGUUAGCUGUUCAGUACCAGAAGAGAGACUGGCAGAGAGGAAAUACACAUGUUAUCACUUCUGGCAGUGUGUUUGGCGUGUGGCGCUCAGUGGUGGACGCCACAGCUCAGACGGCUGCAUCACGACUCGCUGCUGCAGAGGAAUACCGCACACUGAGCGGACAAGCGUCCAGAAGUGUUCGCAAUGCAAAGGACAUCCGAGCUAAGAGAGGUCUGGAGCAGCUGCAGACGGUGCAGGGUGAAGUCGUCGAUGCUCUGCGAGAGCUGCACAGACUGAAGAAGAGCUACCACCAGCUCAGUCACAUUGCCAGUGUUGCCAGAGAGAAAGCUGCUGAUGCACAGACCAGAGCCAAAAAGAGUGAACAUGGGAUUUUUCACUUUAAAUCAGGACUACAUAAACUCACUGCUAAGCUCACUGCCAGGCUGAAAGAGUGUGAUGACCGUUUGACUGAAGUCCGUAAUGACUACCUGUUAGCUUUAGCAGCAGUGAAUGCUCAUCACCAGAGCUACUAUACAGACGACUUACCACGGAUUAUGGAGCAGAUGGACGGCAGCGUUUAUGAUGAUCUGAGGAACCAUUUCACGCUGGUGUGUGGAACAGAGAUGGAUUUCUGUCUGACCACACACAGGCACUACAGCAACAUAUGGGACAGUCUGGCUAAGGUGACCCGGGAGAAAAACAUCCAGCAGUUUCUGCAAGAAUCUGUGGCAUUCAGUAAAACCACUGAAUUCCUAUUCCAGCCUGCACCACGUGACAAGGUGUCGUCUCUGCAGGAAGUCUGUGCUUCAGAGGCUGACGGUUGUCUGGUGAAGGAGGCCAAGAAGUGGGCGGGGAAAGCUGCCAAAGACUAUAAAAUCAUCACCCACGGAGAGAGGGCUCUGCAGGUGUUAGAGAGUCGGCUGACGCUGUUGUCGGGGGAGACGGGGCUCAGUGUGGAGCAGAAGAUCACAGAGGUGCAGGACAGCGUCAGGAAAGCCAAGCUCAGCAGGAUGAAGGCGGACGCUCGUCUGACUCUGUUGUCAGACAAAGUCUCAGGAAUUGAAGAGUGGCGUCACGACGCCAUGAAGCAGGCGGAGGAGGAGCUGGAGAGAGAGCGACGGCUCAGUGAACAGAGGAAGUCGACCGAGGACUUCUCAGAGGACGAGUUUGAGUUGACUGACUUUGAGGACUAUGAUGAUGAGAACGUGGACAUCUUUGCAGAUCCAGGAUCAGUGUCUGGAGUGUGCAUUUAUCCUGCAGCCUGCAGAGUCAUCUAUAGUUAUCAGGCUAGCCAGUCAGAUGAGCUGUCAAUCAUGGAAGGGGAGGAGCUUCAUGUGAUAGAAGAUGGAGACAUGGAGGACUGGCUGAAGGUGUGUAAUGCAUGUGGUCAGGUGGGCUACGUUCCUGAGCGAUAUGUGCAGUUACUGUGUCUACAAGCAGAGGGCGCUGUUCAGCUGGACGCUUCCUUCAGCUCCAUCUCAUCCACUGGGAAUAAAGAGACGACAGGAAACAGAGGUGUAGCCAGAGCUCUGUACUCUUACCAGGCCCAGAGUGCAGAGGAGCUUUCCUUUCAGGAGGGGGCGCUCAUCCACCUGAUACGCUGUCGCCAUGGAGAGGUGGACGAUGGUUUCUGGGAGGGCGAGCUGAACGGGCAGGUCGGUCUCUUCCCGUCGUUGGUGGUGGAGCUCGUACGUGAGGAGGAGAAACCAGAAGAAGACCCUCUCCUCACCCCGACCAUGCCUCCCUUUUCUCUCCCCAUCCCAGUCCCCCCAACCCCUGGCUGUAGCUCUCCAGUCACUAAUACGCCCCCUAUCUGUGCUGAGGACAAACAGCAGGCCUUUUUUCCAAGGCUCGCAGACAAAGGUAACUUGCUCCUCCUCCUUGUGUUUUCCGUCAGUAUGAUUGACUGCCCCGCCCUGAUUGUUUCCACCUGUUCCUCAUUACCGUGUGUAUAUUAUGGUCUGUUGUCAGGUCAGGUUCUUGUUCUUUUGUUUGUUACUUUGUUUUUUCUAGAACCUUUUCCUUUUUCCUGCGAGUGGGUUUUUGUUGCACUUUGAAAAUAAAACUUUGUCUCCUGAGUUGUGUGAUUGGGUCCGAGUCCUUGUCCCGGUGUGACGCAGUCUGGACUCCAGCAGUUCUUUUCUCUUUGUUUGUGAAUGUGAUAAUGUCCUCUGAUUUGUCUUCGUCUCCGUCCUCAGACGCUGGGAGCAGCCACACAUCUCCAGAUCUCUCCAGCUGUCGACUCAGACCUUGUCGACCUCCUCCUCCUCCUCCUCCUCCUCCUCCUCCAGCACAGAAACCUUCGCCUCAGCCUUGAGUCAAAGAAUAAACGCGUCAGCUCCUC